rnacentral:rRNA from 1 species
UCGCCAUGGCCGGACCUCCCCACCGAGCUUGCCGCCCUCAUCAUGUCCCGUCUACCAUCCCAUCGAGACCGCCUCAGUUUCGGCGCUAUCUGCCGUGACUGGCGCCUCGCUUCUUCAUCCACCAUCGAGAUCCCGAGGGACCACCAUGAGUGUGCCGACGAGUGCAGCGAUAGGGGCGCCCAUGACCCAUGUGGCUCGAAGAGAACAUGGCCACUGAUCGCCGCAGAGGGCGUUGCCUUCACCAUGCGUAAGGUCCUCGUGUGCUCGUCCAGUCUCGUCGCUGCGAUCCUUGGCCGUGACGUCCGAAGGCCAGGUUCCGCUCAUAGCUUGGUGUUUUUCCGGCCGGGCACCGGUCAGCUCUCAUGGGUGCUUCUGCUUGCCACCAAUAUGUAUGGGUACAAGUGUGGGUACAAGUACAGGGACAUCGCCUUGUACCGUGGAAAAAUCUUCGCGCUCAUAUCGUCGGAGCAGCUCUUCGCCCAUGAGAUUGGACAGCCAUGUCGCGUCGAGCAUGUCAUCAAGGAAAGCACACCGCCACCGCCCGGGAUCGGCCCAUUGUCGCCGUCGUUUCUGGUGAAGUACUACAUGGUCGUCUCAUCUGAUAAUAGAAAGCUACUAAUGGUGCGGUGGAACAUCCCUCACGCGGCCUACGUUCAUCAUUCAAAGAUGAAUCUGCAAGUGUUCGAGGCAGAUUUGGAGAAGACACAGUGGUUGGAGGUGAAUGACUUGGAUGGCCAGGUCCUCUUCCUGAGCAGGACUUGCUCAAGGGCACUCGCGGGCUCAUCGACGGAACACUACGGGCAGACAUUUCGAGGAAAUCGUGUAUUUAUCUUGGGCACUGACUGGGCAGAGAUACGGAGGCAGUUGAACCCAUGCACGUGCCAUGAUUGCGAGAAGCUCGCCAAUGGUGUUCCAAGCUAUUGCGUGUAUGACAUGACGAGUGGAAAGCUUAGCCUUGUUUCAUUACGCAAAGGUCGUAGAAUGAGAAAUCCAGGUUCAGAAUGGUUCUUCCCC